rnacentral:rRNA from 1 species
GACGAACGCUGGCGGCGUGCUUAACACAUGCAAGUCGAACGGAAAGGCCCUGCUUUUGUGGGGUGCUCGAGUGGCGAACGGGUGAGUAACACGUGAGUAACCUGCCCUUGACUUUGGGAUAACUUCAGGAAACUGGGGCUAAUACCGGAUAGGAGCUCCUGCUGCAUGGUGGGGGUUGGAAAGUUUCGGCGGUUGGGGAUGGACUCGCGGCUUAUCAGCUUGUUGGUGGGGUAGUGGCUUACCAAGGCUUUGACAGGUAGCCGGCCUGAGAGGGUGACCUGCCACAUUGGGACUGAGAUACGACCCAGACUCCUACGGGAGGCAGCAGUGGGGAAUAGUGCACAAUGGGCGGAAGCCUGAUGCAGCAACGCCGCGUGCGGGAUGACGGCCUUCGGGUUGUAAACCGCUUUCGCCUGUGACGAAGCGUGAGUGACGGUAAUGGGUAAAGAAGCACCGGCUAACUACGUG